UACGUAGGGCGCAAGCGUUGUCCGGAAUUACUGGGCGUAAAGCGUGCGCAGGCGGUUCGUUGUGUCGGUGGUGAAAGCCCCGGGCUUAACCUGGGAAUGGCCAUGGAAACUGGCGAACUGGAGUGUGGCAGAGGGGGGUGGAAUUCCGCGUGUAGCAGUGAAAUGCGUAGAGAUGCGGAGGAACACCGAUGGCGAAGGCAGCCCCCUGGGCUAGCACUGACGCUCAGGCACGAAAGCGUGGGGAGCAAACAGG
rnacentral:rRNA from 1 species